AUGGAGGAGGAUGAUGAAGAUGGAGGACAGGAGCACCAGCAUCCACAGCAUCCUGAGGAAACAUCAACAGAGGACAGAGACUUCUAUUCACCAAAACAAUACAGGAGCACCAGCAUCCACAGCAUCCUCAGGAUGAAACAUCACCAGAGGACAGAAAGACUUCUAUUCACCAAAACAAUCAAUAGUUUUGCUUCAGAGGAGAAUCAGACAGUUCCAGAUGUUCGUCACCAGCACUGCAGUGUUUACACAGACUGCUUUGGUUUCAACUUUCUACAAAAAACUUUUGAAUUUUCAACUCACUUUCCAUCAGAAUCCAAGCUCAUCUUCAUCACUGGGAUGUUUCUUCAUCAGUUCUUCAUACAGACUGACACAGUUCACACAUGGAGAAGAUGAUUUAUGGAAUAUGACAUUUAGACUUUUCCUUUUCUCAACAGUAUGAUGCAUACAUCCCAACCCAAAUUUAAUGCAUUUUUUUGGCUUAACUUGAGACAAUUUCUAUCAAUAAAUUGCUAAUGUAUUAUUAUUGACUAUUAAUA
rnacentral:lncRNA from 1 species